rnacentral:misc_RNA from 1 species
GAUGAAGAACGCAGCGAAAUCCGAUAAGUAAUGUGAAUUGCAGAAUUCAGUGAAUCAUCGAAUCUUUGAACGCACAUUGCGCCCGCCAGUAUUCUGGCGGGCAUGCCUGUUCGAGCGUCAUUACAACCCUCAGGCCCCCGGGCCUGGCGUUGGGGAUCGGCGGAGCCCCCCGUGGGCACACGCCGUCCCCCAAAUGCAGUGGCGGUCCCGCCGCAGCUUCCAUCGCGUAGUAGCUAACACCUCGCGACUGGAGAGCGGCGCGGCCACGCCGUAAAACACCCAACUCUUCUGAAGUUGACCUCGAAUCAGGUAGGAAUACCCGCUGAACUUAAGCAUAUCAAUAAGCGGAGGA